AAAGGUUCCAUGUGAACGGCACU
rnacentral:snRNA from 1 species